rnacentral:rRNA from 1 species
UACGUAGGUGGCAAGCGUUUGUCCGGAUUUACUGGGCGUAAAGAGCGCGCAGGCGGUCGAUCAAGUCGCGUGUGAAAGCCCCCGGCUCAACUGGGGAGGGUCACGCGAUACUGAUCGACUCGAAGGCAGGAGAGGGUAGUGGAAUUCCCCGGUGUAGUGGUGAAAUGCGUAGAUAUCGGGAGGAACACCAGUGGCGAAGGCGACUACCUGGCCUGUUCUUGACGCUGAGGCGCGAAAGCUAGGGGAGCAAACGGG